UACCAGCACCCCGAGUGGUCGGGACGAUUAUUGGGCCUAAAGCAUCCGUAGCCGGUUUUACAAGUCCUCCGUUAAAUCCAGCUGCUUAACAGAUGGGCUGCGGAGGAUACUAUAAGACUAGGAGGCAGGAGAGGCAAGCGGUACUCAGUGGGUAGGGGGUAAAAAUCCGUUGAUCCAUUGAAGACCACCAGUGGCGAAGGCGGCUUGCCAG
rnacentral:rRNA from 1 species